UACGGAGGGGGCUAGCGUUGUUCGGAAUUACUGGGGCGUAAAGCGCACGUAGGCGGCUUUGUAAGUUAGAGGUGAAAGCCCGGGGCUCAACUCCGGAAUUGCCUUUAAGACUGCACCGCUUGAAUUGUGGAGAGGUGAGUGGAAUUCCGAGUGUAGAGGUGAAAUUCGUAGAUAUUCGGAAGAACACCAGUGGCGAAGGCGACUCACUGGACACAUAUUGACGCUGAGGUGCGAAAGCGUGGGGAGCGAACAGG
rnacentral:rRNA from 1 species